UGGGGAAUAUUGCGCAAUGGGCGAAAGCCUGACGCAGCGACGCCGCGUGAGGGAUGAAGGUUUUCGGAUCGUAAACCUCUGUCAGAAGGGAAGAAACCGCACUGUGCUAAUCAGCAGUGCCUCGACGGUACCUUCAAAGGAAGCACCGGCUAACUCCGUGCCAGCAGCCGCGGUAAUACGGAGGGUGCAAGCGUUAAUCGGAAUUACUGGGCGUAAAGCGCACGUAGGCUGCUUUGUAAGUCAGGGGUGAAAUCCCACGGCUCAACCGUGGAACUGCCUUUGAUACUGCUUAGCUUGAAUCCGGGAGAGGGUGGCGGAAUUCCAGGUGUAGGAGUAAAAUCCGUAGAUAUCUGGAGGAACAACAGUGGCGAAGGCGGCCACCUGGACCGGUAUUGACGCUGAGGUGCGAAAACGUGGGGAGCAAACAGG
rnacentral:rRNA from 1 species